GACGAACGCUGGCGGCGUGCUUAACACAUGCAAGUCGAGCGGUAAGGCCCUUUCGGGGGUACACGAGCGGCGAACGGGUGAGUAACACGUGGGUGACCUGCCCUCAGCUCUGGGAUAAGCCUGGGAAACUGGGUCUAAUACUGGAUAUGACUCCACGGUGCAUGUCGUGGGGUGGAAAGCCUUGUGCGGCUGAGGAUGGGCCCGCGGCCUAUCAGCUUGUUGGUGGGGUGANGGCCUACCAAGGCGACGACGGGUAGCCGGCCUGAGAGGGCGACCGGCCACACUGGGACUGAGACACGGCCCAGACUCCUACGGGAGGCAGCAGUGGGGGAAUCUUGCGCAAUGGGCGAAAGCCUGACGCAGCGACGCCGCGUGAGGGAUGAC
rnacentral:rRNA from 1 species